rnacentral:lncRNA from 1 species
GUAGAAGACUUAACCGGAAACACGUGGGCGAUCCUCCUUGAGGAUGCAGUGCCAUGAGUCACCUUCAAAGGAAGGGACCAAAAUCGGCACAAUAUGCCAUGUUUCUAAGGACGAUGUAAGUGUACAUCUUGAUUGUAAAUCAAUAUGAACCAUAAGAGGAGAAUAGUUUCACUUUGAAAAAUUCUCAAGGCAUUCAUUAUUGCUAAUGUGAGUACAUCGAAGUCUCAAAUAGACAAAGGACGUCGAUACAACGCCUUAGUACAUAUAACUUGGAACGAAAAUCAAUGUCUAGCCGAUGACAUCAAAGUCAUGGGUAGCUAGAGCAGGAUCCGAAUCUUUGAAAUUCGCGAUCAUGAGGAUGACGUUCUUGUCCUCAUAUUGAUUUUCCAUACCUUUUUGUAUGCAUUCACAAUUUAAAGGAGCUUGACAAUCUUGAACCAGUGAUCCGAAGAUCCACAACGGUUGCAUUAAUGUCGUGAGCUGACGUGAGUAGUUUUGACAAAAUGGUGUCUAAACUGGGAGUGUCGCUAUUAGAGUCGGCAACACCUCCCCCUCUUUUCUAGACAUCGGCACGACGUUUUCUGCCAUUGCCAUGACCCAUAUUGUUGUCCCCACAUUAGGGGAUAAUCUCAAAUAAGUUUAUCACAUUAGCGUAUAUACAAUUCCUGUUUGUAUGAUCAAAAUCAAGUCUCGUUGGUAAUUCCACACCAACUUGGAGGACCUAGAGAACUUGAUGAUGAUCGAAUCCGCUAAAGAUUAUGGAUCAUGAUGCCACAAAAGAUCAUCGACAAUAUGUAGUCAAUUAAGGUGGUAAGCAAUCCACUUGACUAAUAACUCAACAAGAAGAGUUAUAUGAACGUUUCGAGAAACGCUCCAUGAGUGCAUUCCACAAUACUUUAUGGUCAUUACUUUUUGCACAGAUUGCCAUUGAAGGCUUUUGUCGAUGUGGCGCGUCAAAGACUUUGAGCACAUGAGAUGUGAAAUCUUGGCAUCUAGGCUUGUUAGCCUGGGGGUCAAAACAUGUGGUUUAAUCCUUUCCAAUGAAAGGUUCCACAGAUACCAAGCGAAGAUCCGCCUUAGGCAUCUAGUACGUCAAAACUCAAAGGAGCAGAAUGUUACAUUGCUCUUGCAUACAAAACCAAGCUGUUAUGAGACUCGAUAGAGGUCACAAACGAUGCUUUUAAUGGUUUGUCCUUCGGAUUGAUCAUACACAAUCCGGAAAAGCCGCGAAUUGAUCAAACACAAUUCGAAAAAAGGUCUCGGAUUGAUCAAACACAAUCCGGUGAAAGGUCGGGGUUGAUCAAACACAACCCNN